rfam:Nelumbo nucifera unplaced genomic scaffold scaffold00194, whole genome shotgun sequence
CGUGCAAGUGAUGAUAGAACAGACAGGGACAUCAGCACUCUUUAGGAGUAUGAUGACUCGUCUAUGGGAAUCUCUCUAAUGCAUA